CCCUUAGAUGUUCUGGGCCGCACGCGCGCUACAAUGAUGCAGGCAACGAGUGCUGCUCCUUGGCCGAAAGGCUUGGGGAACCUUGAAAACUGCAUCGUGCUAGGGAUAGAUGAUUGCAAUCGUGCAUCUUGAACGAGGAAUGCCUUGUAAGCGUGAGUCAUCAACUCGCGCUGAAUACGUCCCUGCCCUUUGUACACACCGCCCGUCGCUCCUACCGAUUGAAUGUUCCGGUGAGCUCUUCGGACUGCGCGGUCUGCAGUUUCUGCGUUCCGUGCGGAAAGUUGCGCAAACCUUAACAUUUAGAGGAAGGAGAAGUCGUAACA
rnacentral:rRNA from 1 species